GAGCAGCAUCGCGCAUCUGUAAAGGCUAAAUGAAUGGUUCAGAGACAAAAUUGAUCAUGAUCUGAUUGGCAGAGAGUACCGUUCUACAGUAAAGCAAAGUUCUAAAAUCUGCCACCUCUUACUGGUUUCCAAGGUCUGGUACUGUCUCUGGAGGGAUCACAGAAAUGAUGAAGUAGUGAUGAUUAAUUUAUCCCUCAUAAGAUGAAGGUUAAUCAUGACUGAGUAUAAAACAGGAACCACAGUAACAACACCAACGACAAAGCUGCAGUCUGUGAAGACAAUUCCCAAGAAGCAUCCUCAGAGUGAACGGAGCAAUGGCAGCACUUACAGGAAUUUAUAGGAAUGCUCCAAAGGAGACAUGAGAUGUCACUUUAAAAGUUCUGGUCGGCCUGAAUAAAAUCUGUUCAUUUUUUGUGGUAGCCAAUCACUUCCUUUAUUCUACCUCAUUUUAGCAGACAUUUUUUUUUUCUUCAAGACACCUGCUUUC